rnacentral:rRNA from 15 species
UAAAACUUUCAACAACGGAUCUCUUGGUUCUGGCAUCGAUGAAGAACGCAGCGAAAUGCGAUAAGUAAUGUGAAUUGCAGAAUUCAGUGAAUCAUCGAAUCUUUGAACGCACAUUGCGCCCUCUGGUAUUCCAGAGGGCAUGCCUGUUCGAGCGUCAUUU